rnacentral:rRNA from 1 species
AUGCACCAUCUUGUCGUGGUCGACGCCGUCACAGCGCCCAUCACCACAUCGUCCUGCCGCACGCAGCAGCCACCUCUUGACGUGGACGGCGCCUUCGCAACGCCGAUCACCACGCCAUCAUCACCUCGCGGCAUCGCACCGAAACCGGCCAUCAGCGGUACCGCACCGCUGCCAGCCAUCACCUCGCACCGACGUCCUCCACCUCACAUGGAGUCCACCGCGUCACCACCGUCGCAGCCGUUGCCUCCGCCCAGCACCACAGCGGCCACCAUAGCCGCCGGCACCGUCGUCGCCGCCACGGAUCAACAAGGCUCCGAUGCCAAUUAUUGGCGCCGCCUCUCGCAGCGCCGCUUCUUCUUCUACCUUGGUGCUGCCUCUCACAGCUCCCUCUAUCUUUCUCUGGUUGUUUCUCUCUAUCUUCUUCUCACAAGAACACACACACCCACAUAUGAAACUCUACACACACACGCAACCAAGGAGAAGACCAGCUGGUGCUUUGCCAAGAGGCUCUCCUCCUCGGUGGAACAAGAGACUACAUUGUCUAUUUUCCCAGCCCUCACAGCCUCUUCCAUUACUAAAUCAGAUGACUAUUUAUACAAAGUUUGGCACUCAGCCAAGACCCACACUCACGCCAUACUCCACUAA